GAGAGCGAGAGGCAUGAGGGAGUCCAUGUUUGUAGUCCUUUGAAAAGAGCGUGCGUGUUACGCCUGACAAGGUCCGUGUGUUUAUGGCUGGCUACAUUCUUUGAUUUCCACAGUAAAAGACAUGAGCGUCCGCCACUGCCCUGCAAAAUGAGAUGACAUCACUUGUCGAGAGAGCCCUCUGCAUCACCCCCUCGCCCCCCUUCCCUCGGCAAACUGGCCGCCAUGCGUCUCACCGGUCACAUGCUUUGAAAAGAAAGACACCCCCGAUACACCAGCUAGGAACAUUUCAGAGCUAUACGAUGAAAUAAAAAGGAGAAGAAACGACGAAAUCAAAAGCGCUCCUCGGCUUGUUGCUAUGACAACGGCCUCCCGGACAGCUAAGACACUGCUGCGCCCGUCCAUCAAGUUGUCAGGGGGCGGGACGCUCGGACAAUGAAGGAGAAGAGGAUGACGAUGGCAGGAAGAAAGAAAAAGAAAGGAAGGAAAUGACUGACCGACAAACAGGAAGUAAGGGGGGGAGAUGCUGCCCCUAGUGGUAGAAACAGAAGUGCGCCGCAUCCCCAAACGUCGUCAUGCAGGUGGCCUAACGCAGGAGGACGAAGGGCUGGCGGGACGCUCCAGCCCCGCCCUGACCGACCGACAACUCCGCCCCCCCCGCCCCCCCCCCUCCUAUGCCCGCCCUCGGAAAGGCACGCGCACGCGGGAGUGCACAAGGCGACAUGUUAGAAAAUAGUGGUCUCGUACUUGGUGUUGACUCCUCUCUUGGCCUCCUGACCCGGCUCCACUAUCCACGGCACGUUGGCGUGGCCCUUCUGCUCCAUGGACGCCUGCUCCAUCUGAACACACGAACAAAUAAAACAAAUAAAAGGGCGCUUCGAGGGACGCCGCUGGAAAAGGAAACAAUUUCAACGAUGUACAAAGAUUCCUUGGUUCACGUUCGGUGUAACGAGAGCGCAUCGCGACGGACGGGGCUCACCGACUUGCGGACGUUGAGGCCGCGCGGCUUGGGCACGGGCUUGCCGGGCUUGCCGUCGAAGCUCUCGGGCAGCGUGGACGAGCCGUGGCCGCUCUUGCGCGCUUGCAGGGCCAGCUGGUAGGCCACCUCGAAGGCCUGGCCCAGCGUCAGGAUGAUCUCGUACGCCAGAUUCUGGAGCGGGGAGAGAAAGCGGCGUGAGGCGGCGGCGGCGGCGGCGGCGGCGCCGGACGCGCUUUUACAGUUUACGGGCAACUGUGUAUGCGUUGCGUGUUGUGUGUUUUACGUCACAUUCAUAAUCCCGUAACAUCCAUGCAAAUUUCCAUGAGCUAUUUUGUUCCGCGUCGUAUGCUAGCAUUAAGAUUUAGGGUUCGGGAUUUAAUUGAACAUUUAGUUUUUUUAAAUAUACCCACGUGCCAUUAACUCAUUCACUGCCAGCCUUCCCAG